rnacentral:lncRNA from 10 species
CUUGACCGCAGCACAUCCGUUUUCCUUACAGUAUGUAGUACGCAUUCUACCUUUUCCUACAAUGAAUCCACCAGCAGAAAUUCCUGUACACAUCUUAUCAACAAAGAAUUUGAACCUCAAAGAGUUCUGGUGCUGGUGAUUAUUAAGUUCUUCACACUUCUCUCAUAGUGGAGCUUAAGAUUCUCACUGUGUUACCUAGGCUGCAGUGCAGUGGUGCGAUCUCAACUCACUGCAACCUCUACCUCCUGGGUUCAAGCAAUUCUCCUGCCUCAGCCUCCCAAGUAGCUGGGAUUACAGAGCUCAUGGUUUUUAAACAACUUGUGGUAAAAAUCUGGUGGAAAAGAUAACAACAGUAUAUGAUAUGGCAGAGUUGCACAGAAGAAUCAGAACAUUGUUUUAGAGAAACGUUGGGCAAUUAAUUAAGCCAGCUGAUUAAGUUUUAAAGAAGCUAAACCAUAUCAUGUCGAAAUCAGAGGAGCGAUGAAAGUGUGAGUGGUGGUAUUUCUGCUGUUCUCCCCCCUGAAGGCUUCUGCGAUUAGCUUCUAUGCCUUCCUUCCCUUAUGGGCAUUCAGAUCCAAACUACUUGCAACUGUAGACAAGGAGGAAGAUGGAACUUGGAGAAGACAUACAGGCUGAAGAAAAAAAAAUAUUUUGGAAGUGAUCAGCACAUUCUAAUUGACCAUGGAUGCUCUCUGCAUUCAUGUGGUAACCCAGGGAGAGUAUGGAGUGAAAAGAGGAUCACCAAAGAAACUUGGGGAAUUACACACUAAUAGUGAAGAACAGGUGGCACCUGAAAUCACAGAAAAUUUAUUUGUCCUCAAUGCAAAGAUGAACUAUGAAGAGCACUUUAUUGCGUUUGAAGAAUAUAGGAAUGAUGAGUGAAAUGGUGAAGGAAGUGGAUAAACAAUGAUGUAACGACUGAGCGUCAUCUUGCAACUGAAUAAGCCAGUGAGGAACUUGGUAAAUUUGUUGAUUAUAUUUAGUUUUACAAUGUUUAAUUCUUUAUUAUUU